CCCACAUCGGGCUCCCUGCUCAACGGGAAGCCUGCUUCUCCCUCUCCCACUACCCCUGCUUGUGUUCCCUAUCUCACUGUCUCUCUCUGUCAAAUAAAUGAAAUCUUUAAAAAUAAAAUAAAAUAAAAAUAAAAAGUCAAGUUCAAUGGGGCGUUUAGUUGGUUAAGUGUCUGCCUUCAGCUCAGGUCAUGAUCUUGGGGUCCUGGGAUCAAGCCCCGCGUCGGGCUCCAUGCUCAGCGGAGAGUCUGCUUCUCCCUCUCCUUCUCCCUCUGCCCCUUCCCCCACUCAUGCAUUCUCUUAAAUAAAUAAAUAAAAUCUUUAAAGAAAAAAAAGGUUCAAGUCUUAUUAUUCUCUGUUUAAGGUAAUGUCUUUUAACCUAUAUUUUUUGUAGAUUUUCUCUUUUUCAUUCUGCCUUGAGGGUUUUGAAGGAGGAAUGCGGCAUGUGCAGCUUCACAAGACCGUCCCCAAGAGCCACCUGCAUUUCUGCAUUAAGCCUCUGUUAUGCAACUUUUGUUUGUCUGGAUUCUCAUAAUGCCUGGUCCACUGAGAGCACCCCUUCGUGUUUUUCAAUAUUAAGGUACAUGCAUGGAUGCAUAUGAGUUUGUGUACCCAUGUAACUUUUUUUGUAAUUUCUAGAUUUGGGAAGGAGGGGAGGAUUUGGGAGAGGCUAGAGGCUAGAACUUGCUCUCAGUUGGCCAUCCUGAUUCAAUCUGUUAAAUUUUUAAGUACAUAUUGAACUCUUUUAAUACCAAACACAGACAGCUGCUAGGAUCAUAUGAUCUAAUUUGGAAAUCUUUGCCUCUGAAGUGAUGUCAUAUUAAGCUAUUUCAAUUUAAGACAUGGUUUCCAUGUUAAAACUGGCAUCUGCAGGACAUGUGUGAAUAAAUUCCAUUCUCCCUCAUCAAAAUUACCUUUUAGAUUUUAAUAUUAGAUUUCAAAAGAAUUGAGAGUUCUGUAUCAUAGAUUCCUACAAACAUAACAACAGCAAAAACAGAAAGAAUAUUAUUGCUCAACUAUAACAAAAAUGAGGGGAAUUUAAAAAAUUUGUUAAGUGCUAAAAUUAAAAAUAAGAAAAAACAAUUCAGAAAGAUCCUGAGAUUAAAAAAAAAAAGAUUUUGAGAUGUUAUUUCCUUGUACUCAACCCCAAAAUUACUUCAAUCAACAGACUUUUGCCAACACUAAUAAAUUCAGGAAUAAUUUAUCAUUGAUUUACCUUGAUUGUUACAGUGUAAAUUCCAAAUUUUUAAAUCUAAAAUAAUCUCCAGGUGGUUGUACAAUAGAAAUUUUAUAUAAAUAAAUGCAAUCCUGAAAUAAUAUAAACUCUAAAUAUUCUUGAGUUAAACCCAAAGAGUUCAACAAAACAAUCUUUUUAAAAAUAUUUAAUGUACAUCUAACAUGUCCUAGGUACUGUUCUAGGCAUGGGACAUAUCAGUGAACAAAACAGACAAAACCCCCUGGUUUGUGGAGUUUAUAUUCUAGUCAAUAUAUAUAAUUUGAAUAAUUUGAAUUUGGUCCUUUCCUACAGAAAUUACUAAUAAGGUAGAUAAAUGUGUCAUGCCCAAACACAAAUAUACAUAUCUCUUAUAGCAGUCCAUCAUACAAUCAUAUGAAAAUAUGUUUGACUUCCAGCUAUAAAAUAAAUAAGUCACAGAGACAAAAAGUAUAGCAUAGGGAAUAUAGUCAAUAAUAUCAUAGGGGCGCCUGGGUGGCUCAGUUGGUUGAGCAGCUGUGUUUGCCUCAUGUCAUGAUCCCAAGCUCCUGGGAUCCAGCCCCACGACAAGAUCCCUGCUCAGUGGGGAGCCUGCUUCUCCCUCUCCCUCUGCUGCUCCCCCUGCUUGUGUUCUCUCUCUCUCUGUCAAAUAAAUAAAUAAAAUCUUAAAAAUAAUAAUAAUAUCAUAAUAAUGUUGUUGGGUGACAGAUGGUGAUUACAUUUACCAUAGUGAGCAUGGGGUAAUAUAUAGAAUUGUUGAAUCAAUACACUGCACACCUGAAACAUUUAUGUUACUCAUGCUUCAAUAAAAAUUAAAUCAAUAAAUAUGUUUGAGAACAUUUAUAACACAAAAAUACAUUUAGCUACUGACUUCAAAAGUUUAGAAGUCAAUACUUUUGUCAGAGAAUGUGAGAAAGGUCAGGGGUCCUAAAAUUUAUCUGCCUAAGUGAUUCACUUGGCAAAGGAGGUAUUGGCUAGAUUUUAGGUAAGUAUACCAGAUUUUAGACAACUCUUAACAUAUCUCCAUUUAUAUCUCUGAACUAAGCAACUGAAAUAAUCCAGAUGUCGGACCUGUACGGACUGAGGAAAACACUGGGUCUAGCGGGAGCAAGAUUUUGAUCAUCCAGAGUUGUACUGUCCAAUAUGGUAGCUGCUAGUCACAUGUAGUUAUUCAACUUUGAAUUACCUAAAAAUUUUAAAUUCAGCCCCUUAGUCACAGGAGCCACGUUUCCAGGUCGCAGUAGCCACACAGAGCCCCUGGCUGCCAUAUUGAACCGGGAGUAGACAGAGAACGUUUCCAACACUUAAGGAAGUUCUAUUGGACGGUGCUGCUCUAGAGAAUCAGAAGAAAACGCCGCCACUCCUGGGAAAGUCCAAAACUUCCCGAAAAGGGUUACAACAAGUGUCGAUUAUAAUGGCAAAAAGAUAAGUUUUCUUCUCUAUCCCUUGGCUAUUUCCAUUCCUGCGUCUUAUUUUCCCUUCAGCUCCUAGAAAAUCUGUCUUCUCCUUUCCUUACUCUCUCUCCCUAGCUUCUCACAUUUUUUCCUACCCAUUUCUCACUCCCUUCUCUAUUUUCUCUAAUAACAACUCUGCAGUCCACAGUUAAUGACUGCAGCAUUUAUUGAGGUUUAUAUUCUUUUAUAUUUCUCAACGUUAAAAUUUAAGAAGCCUAAUCUUUCUGUUUCCAAAAAAAUACAAUAUUUAGAGGGAGGUUUUUUGUUGUUGUUGUUGUUUUAGGUGUAUAUGACCUUCUGUGUAUUUUCCUUCCCGAGAUCAUUAUCCUUCCUUAGAGUUUCUCACCUUUAGAAUCCGGGGUGGAAAAGAAGCAAUUCUCGUUCCAGCCUCUGGGGUUUCCCUCUUGGAGGAAGGGCUCCGUCCUGUGGGCCGCUACGCCGGCGCGGCACUUCGAGGCACCUCUCGUUCCGCUGACCUUCUACUGUCACCUAGCGGAGAGAAGCAAGAGCUCCUCCGCGAGUUUGGUCGUUACCAAGCGACAGAGGCGGUGCGCUGCCUGGCCUAAAGAGGAGGGCGCACACUAAAAGCUGUUGGAAAGCUGUAACAACGCCGCUUUCUAUUGGCUGGAGAGCUCUCAGCCAU
rnacentral:lncRNA from 1 species